rnacentral:rRNA from 1 species
AGUGAACGCUGGCGGUAGGCCUAACACAUGCAAGUCGAACGGCAGCACAGGAGAGCUUGCUCUCUGGGUGGCGAGUGGCGGACGGGUGAGGAAUACAUCGGAAUCUACCUUUUCGUGGGGGAUAACGCAGGGAAACUUACGCUAAUACCGCAUACGACCUACGGGUGAAAGUGGGGGACCGCAAGGCCUCACGCGAUUAGAUGAGCCGAUGUCCGAUUAGCUAGUUGGCGGGGUAAUGGCCCACCAAGGCGACGAUCGGUAGCUGGUCUGAGAGGAUGAUCAGCCACACUGGAACUGAGACACGGUCCAGACUCCUACGGGAGGCAGCAGUGGGGAAUAUUGGACAAUGGGCGCAAGCCUGAUCCAGCCAUACCGCGUGGGUGAAGAAGGCCUUCGGGUUGUAAAGCCCUUUUGUUGGGAAAGAAAUCCUGUCGAUUAAUACUCGGUGGGGAUGACGGUACCCAAAGAAUAAGCACCGGCUAACUUCGCGCCAGCCGCCGCCGUAAGAC